GCGCCCGUAGCUCAACUGGAUAGAGCACCGGUCUUCGGAACCGGGGGUUGGGGGUUCGAGUCCCUUCGGGCGUA
rnacentral:tRNA from 2 species